rnacentral:lncRNA from 1 species
UGUUUGAAACUUUUCUAGUAAUUGCUCUAUCAUUCAGGAUAAAAAUAUAAUCUGACACACUCUUAUCGUCAUGGUUUGACUGAAAGCUGGAAUCGGUGAAUCCCACUAGUUUCAAGUCAGUCUCACCAUAAACAAGCCAUUGGUCCUUAGUAUUUCUUAAAUACUUAAGCAUGGUUUCAAUAGUUCUCUCCUGUAUCAAACUGGUAUCUACUCACUACCCCU